GAACACUGUCAAUCCUUUCUAAUGCGCACAACAAACCAGUGCUAGAGCCUCCCCCGAGAGUAGACAACGCCAGCGUUUAGCCGUUAGAACGCCGACCUACACAGUCGUUCAUCAAAACAAAACACACCUAAAUAUUCGUAGUAGCCCGAACUACGAAUGCUCUGAUUUCCUUAUUGCACCAUAAGGAUACGUAGGCAGGAGAUUGUUGUAUCUUCG
rnacentral:lncRNA from 1 species